rnacentral:piRNA from 1 species
UCCCAAAUUCUAGUUAUGAGGAAAAAAAG